rnacentral:rRNA from 1 species
ACCUCUAGCAUUACUAGUAUUAGAGGCACUGCCUGCCCAGUGACACACGUUUAACGGCCGCGGUACCCUGACCGUGCAAAGGUAGCAUAAUCACUUGUUCUUUAAAUAGGGACUCGUAUGAAUGGCAUCACGAGGGCUUAACUGUCUCUUACUUUUAACCAGUGAAAUUGACCUGUCCGUGAAGAGGCGGACAUGAAACAAUAAGACGAGAAGACCCUGUGGAGCUUCAAUUUACUAGUACAACUAAAGACUACACAGACCUAUAGGCCCCUAAACUCUCACACCUGUACUAAAAAUUUUGGUUGGGGUGACCUCGGAGCACAACUAAACCUCCGAAAAAAUCAAUGCUAAGACUACACAAGCCUAAGCAAAUUAAGAUCCACAAUUGACCCAAUAAUUUGAUCAACGGAACAAGUUACCCCAGGGAUAACAGCGCAAUUCUAUUCUAGAGUCCAUAUCGACAAUAGAGUUUACGACCUCGAUGUUGGAUCAGGACAUCCUAAUGGUGCAGCAGCUAUCAAG